rnacentral:rRNA from 1 species
CUACGGAGGGUGCAAGCGUUAUUCGGAAUCACUGGGCGUAAAGGACGCGUAGGCGGGUUGGCAAGUCAGAUGUGAAAUCCUACAGCUUAACUGUAGAACUGCAUUUGAAACUGCUAACCUAGAGUAUGGGAGGGGGAGAUGGAAUUAGUGGUGUAGGGGUAAAAUCCGUAGAUGUCACUAGGAAUACCGAAAGCGAAGGCGAUCUCCUGGAACAUAACUGACGCUAAGGCGUGAAAGCGUGGGGAGCAAACAGGAUUAGAAACCCUAGUAGUCC